rnacentral:rRNA from 1 species
GACGGGGCCCGCACAAGCAGCGGAGCGUGUGGUUUAAUUCGAUGAUACACGAAGAACCUUACCCAGGCUUGACAUGUAGGUGGUAGGGAUCCGAAAGGUGACCGACCCUUCGGGGAGCCUGCACAGGUGCUGCAUGGCUGUCGUCAGCUCGUGUCGUGAGAUGUCCGGUUAAGUCCGGUAACGAGCGCAACCCUCGCUGUAUGUUAUAUGUGUCAUACGGGACUGCCGGUAUCAAGCCGGAGGAAGGUGGGAUGACGUCAAGUCAGCAUGGCCUUUAUGUCUGGGGCUACACACACGCUACAAUGGCCAGUACAAUAGGUUGCAAAACCGCGAGGUGGAGCCAAUCCUAAAAGCUGGUCUCAGUUCGGAUUGCAGGCUGCAACUCGCCUGCAUGAAGUCGGAGUUGCUAGUAACCGCGCGUCAGCUAUAGUGCGGUGAAUACGUUCCCGGGCCUU